rnacentral:tRNA from 1 species
GGGCGGUUAGCUCAGUUGGUUAGAGCGCCUGCCUUACAAGCAGGAUGUCGGGGGUUCAAGUCCCUCACUGCCCACCA